GUAGGCUCCAAGAGGACUUGGAAAAUUCAUGAUCCUAAUAAAACAAGUUCUUCCCUAGAAACAACUGUCAGCCACUUUCCAGUAGAAGAGAGAGAGACACAGCAGUGUUGCUCCCCGGCAGAUGCUGGCCACACAUGCCGUUCACAGCCCAGAGAUAAGCAAAGGUCAUGCGCACGAAUGAGUCUGUGCUAGUAUGGUUUCAAGCUGGCGAGGAAGAGCUCACGGUGCUUACCCAUGCAGUUCUUCAUCAUCAUGAAGCCACUUUCAUAGCCUUCGAAGCACUCGCACUCAAAGCUGCCCGGUGUAUUGACGCAGAUUCCACUGCCACAGAGGAGCAAGCCCCGAUAAACUUCCUGAAUGCUCUUCUCUGCCUUGGAGUCUGUUUCCUGAGGAGCUUAACCUGCCUCUGUCUGAAGAAAUAUCACAGGUAAUUGAAAUAGCCAGUUUAAUGAAAGAAUUCGCAUAACUUUUUCACUUUGGGAGAGAGAGACAUCAAAAUUCAAUUGGAGGCUUCAAUCCUGUUCAAAAUUAUACUCCUAAUGCAUACAGGGAAGUCCCUAGUAGGAUAAAGUACAGGGUAGGGGGAAGAGCAAAGAAAGAUCAAAACAAAGACAAACUUUCCAGAUGGGAAGUUAUAAAUGUGGGAGUGAAACUCAGGAAGAACAGAGAGAGUUAGAGACAGGGUCUGGGAGUCAGCUCAGCAGAGGCCAUCUCUGAAGUCAUGAUGGUAGAUGAAACUCUGAGAGGCAAGACGCUGAGUAGAGGACUCUGGCAACACCCAAGAAAUGGGAAAGGCAAGAAGAAUCUGUAGAGGUUAGAGAAGAAACAUCAUCUGCAUAGAAGGAUGAUCAAGACCGGAAAAUACCACAGAAACUAAGAGAAAAGAAAAUCUCAAGGAGAGAUUUGGCAAGCAGAGGUCCAGGAGAGAUGUUUUAACACCACAAAGAUGUUUUGCAAGAGUAGAUGAGUAUACAUGUAUGUGCCUGAGUGACAGAGGGCAAAAGUCAAAAUUACAGGACAAAUGGCUGGUUGAAAGAGAGGGGUGAGACUUACCAGCAGGAAAACGGGAUGGUAGCUUGAGAGAAAAGAAGGGCUGAGGAGAUAUUUUGAACCUGUGUAUAAGUUGAGGAACAGGAAGCAGGGAAGAGGAGAUGCUAGAGAGAGGAGAGAGGAGCGAACCUGCUGAGACAACCCAGAGCAGGAGCUGGGAAGGAGGGAAAAGAGGAGUUAACCCCAAAUCCAGGUAGAGCAUCACACCUCAUUCUCUGUCACCGGAGGAGAGGGAGUGGGGGAUAAAGGAGAUUUUUUUUUUUUUUGAGAUGGAGUUUUGCUCUCAUUGCCCAGGCUGGAGUGCAAUAGCACGAUCUCGGCUCACCAAAACCUCCGCUUCCUGGGUUUAAGCGAUCCUCCUGCCUCAGCCUCCCGAGUAGCUGGGAUUACAGGCAUGUACCACCAUGCCCGGCUAAUUUUGUAUUCUUAGUAGAGACGGGGUUUCUCCAUGUUGGUCAGGCUGGUCUCAAACUCCUGACCCCAGGUGAUCUGCCCGUCUCGGCCUCCCAAAGUGCUGGGGUUACAGGCAUGAGCCACCAUGCCCAGCGGGAUAAAGGAGAUGUUAUCACUAGAGAGGAGGCUGUGUGAGAAGGAUGCAGGCAAUCAGAUUUAUUCUCAAUGAAGGAGAACGGUAAUAGAUGGGGGUGGAGGGUAGAGGAGAGGGCAUGUAAGUCAGGGAAGAGGUUUAGAAGCAGUGCUGAGAGGAAUUCAGAAAGUGAUGAAUGGAGGUGAAUAUGAGUGUUGUCAAGCAGCUUCAAGGACUUGGAGGUGAAUGCAGUAAUCUCAGGCAGCACUCCUCAGACUCUCCCAGCCAAGUGCAACAGCCAGAGUGGAGAAAACAGGUGAGGGGAUGAAGCUCUGGAGACUGGCACAGGGCUUGAGCAGACUUCAAGGCAGCAGGACUUCAGAAAGCCAGAUGGACAGCUGUGAAAAGCUCAGAGAUAGCCUUGGCUGAGGAGGCACAGGAAAGAGCCAAGAAAGAUGUGGCCGUGAGGUCAGGAAGAAGGAGCAGGCAGGAGGGAGUGCGAUAAGGGGAAAUCCCAUGGAGAAUACGAACAAAGAGAGUGCUGAGAACGAGAUCCUGAAGACACAGCUCAAGGGUCUGGAACAACAUGGUAUACUAAUAGAAAAAGUUAGAACUUCACAUCUUGUUCAAAGAGAAUGUUAUGGGUAUGGAUGGUGACUGAAAACUAAUAUUAAGAUUCCUGUUCACAGAUGAGGAAAAGAAGUAAUAACUUCUAUAUCACAAACCUUAAAAUCUUUAAGAGAACACUACUCAAGUUUAUAUAAUUCUUGUGGAUUUAAUGACUGUAUUUCUUUAGUAGUCAUAUAUUUUGAAAAUCAUAUUUGUAUGCUGUUCCUAAAUAUAAAACAAACAGCAUUUUCAUGAUGUUUUGCAGUUCUCUCACAACGAGUUUAUUUGGAGAACUGGUUUAAGUGUAGAGAAAAGAAAUUUAAAAAAUUUACAGAGCUGGAUGCCGUGGCUCAAGCCUGUAAUCCCAGCACUUGGGGAGGCCAAUGCAGGAGGACCACUUGAAGCCAGGAGUUUGAGGCCAGCCUGGGAAGCAAAGUGAGACCCCAUCUCUUAAAAUAAAUAAAUAAAUAAAUAAUUAACUUUUUAAUUAGCUGUGCAUGGUGGCGCACACCUGUGCUCCCAGUUACUUGGGAGGCUGAGGUGGAGGGACUACUUGAGAACAGAAGUUUGAAGUUACAGUGAGCCAUGAUCAUGUCUCUGCACUCCAGCCUGGGCGACUAAGUGAGACCUUUUCUCUAAAAAGAAAUUAAUAAAUAAAUAAAAAUUUUCAUGUUCUCAAUGAGAGGAUUAGCUUUUUAGGGCAGUCCUUUCAAACAGAGUAAAGGAAAGACAGCCAGAGUUUAUCAAAUAAAACAGCAGAACCAUCUUACCCGUGCAGUUUCUUUCCUCCAUGUCUAGAGCAAAGCCACUAUUGCAACGGCAUUUGAAGCUUCCGAUUGUAUUUCUGCACUUCCCAUAAGUGCACAUCCCAGGAAAUGCUUUGCAUUCAUUGAUGUCUAAAAGCAGAAUGAAGCCAGAAUGUAGAGCCGGUUGAUAUAAACGAUUAGGUCCAUCACUUUAAGUUAAAAAUCUAUCAUGAUGGACAACAGUAAUGCAUCCAAGUAAAAAACAGGGCUACUAAAUGUUUCAGUGAUCACACUGAUAUCACACAGGAAGUUUCAAUAUGGUGAAAAAGAUCUUAUAUUCUUUUUUUUUUUUUUUUU
rnacentral:lncRNA from 1 species